AUUGAACGCUGGCGGCAGGCUUAACACAUGCAAGUCGAGCGGAGAUGAGGUGCUUGCACCUUAUCUUAGCGGCGGACGGGUGAGUAAUGCUUAGGAAUCUGCCUAUUAGUGGGGGACAACAUUCCGAAAGGAAUGCUAAUACCGCAUACGUCCUACGGGAGACAGCAGGGGAUCUUCGGACCUUGCGCUAAUAGAUGAGCCUAAGUCGGAAUAGCUAGUUGGUGGGGUAAAGGCCUACCAAGGCGACGAACUGUAGCGGGUCUGAGAGGAUGAUCCGCCACACUGGGACUGGGACACGGCCCAGACUCCUACGGGAGGCAGCAGUGGGGAAUAUUGGACAAUGGGGGGAACCCUGAUCCAGCCAUGCCGCGUGUGUGAAGAAGGCCUUAUGGUUGUAAAGCACUUUAAGCGAGGAGGAGGCUACUGAGACUAAUACUCUUGGAUAGUGGACGUUACUCGCAGAAUAAGCACCGGCUAACUCUGUGCCAGCAGCCGCCGUAAGAC
rnacentral:rRNA from 1 species